AAUAGUCACAGGAGUAUAUAUAAAGCCUUAGACCCAGAUCAUAUACAUUUACUUUGAGGAGAAAGCAGAUUGAUGUUGUAUCACAAAGCAAGUUCAGCGUGUCUUCUGAGUGAUUUACAAGAUGAACAACGCCCUCAUCCUUCUGGUGGCCGUCGGUCUCUCCUGCUUGAUGGCAGCGCAAGCAAUAUCCCCAUCUGGCGUUUUAACAGGACUAGGUGCUCUGACGAGCGCCGUAAGCAGGCGGAGGUACCACGGCGCAAGCCAUGGACGCGGCCAUGGCCAUGGGUAUAGAGCCCCUUCCAGAAGGUACCGUCUUCGCUACGGCCGCUCUAUUGCAACUGCUGAUGAGGAGGAUGACCUUAUUUUAUCCGACCUCCUAUAACGUUUCCUUCGUCAGUGUCAAAAAUGUCGCCACAAAGACUCGAGACUCCUCCGUCUGCAGGAAGUUCUUCCCGAAUAUCCGUUCCACGACGAGGAACUGAGCCAACUCAUGGAACUUGCGUGGAGCUGCGACUAUAACUCGAGCAGGAAAAAGUAUCAAAAGCUUACAUUUACAAACUUUAUGCCGUUCCAGUGUUUGUUAUCAUGCCACAGGUGGGUGAAGAGGGGACUAUUGUCUCGGAGCGUCCGUUGGACAAUUAGGAUCGUAUGUUCACUAGUGGGUCAUAUUUCAAAGAGAAAAAUCCUAGUUGAAAUAUGUCCUACUAGUGUGCGUACAUUAUUUACAGAUAUUCUGUUCAAUUGGUAGAUAACAUUUAUCUAUUCCAUGCCUAUAAAUUAGCAGUUCGUUAAUCCAAAGGCAGAUGUUAUAAUUUCUAUAAUAAAACAAACAAAUAUA
rnacentral:lncRNA from 1 species